rnacentral:rRNA from 1 species
GGAGCUAGCCGUCGAAGGUGGGACAGAUGAUUGGGGUGAAGUCGUAACAAGGUAGCCGUAUCGGAAGGUGCGGCUGGAUCACCUCCUUUCUAAGGA